UUUUGUUGUGCUUGAAUGUUCGGAGUAUUCAGAGUCUUGCAUGAUGAUAUCUUGAACUUGUGUUUAACUUGGGAUCCAGUGUGAUGCAAGUACAGUGAUCUAAUCAUAUCAAGUGAUCAAUGGACUUAUGAUCACUUGACUGGAUAGGGGAAGUAGACAAAUAUGGAGUGAUUAACUGAUCAAAAUUAACUUUGAUCAAUCAGUCACUCAAGGACAUGAUCAAGAAAUGGAUUACAAGCACAAUGAAUUUGGGAUCA
rnacentral:lncRNA from 1 species